UGUUACCCAAAUUCGAAAUUAUUAUCGAUUUUCCGCGCGAAAUUCUGUAUAAGUAGUAACGGUUCAACAAUGGCACGCUUUUUUCCUUUUCACGGUCCGCGACGAACGACUUUUCGGCUGGAAGUCUCGGUUCACGUUAGCUGUGGAUUUUGACCGGCACGUCGUCGGGGGGACGGUCCGUUUUCUCUCACAAUGUAAACUUUAACGUUCAGAAUUACG